GUACUACCAUUUCAUAGUGGAAGCCUCCUCAGGUCUGUGAGGAAAUGAUGUUGUGUGCUCUGGUUCUCUUGACUCUGGUCCCAGUGAUUACAGGUAACCAACCUGGAGUGAAAGUCUCAAUAACUCAAGAGGGACUUGAUUAUGCUGUAACCAAUGGUAUUAAGCAGGUGCUCAAAAAUAUGGAAAAUAAAGAUCAAGCUGGUACAGAAGAGGUUGAGUAUAGUUUUAAAGG